rnacentral:rRNA from 1 species
UUUAUGGAGAGUUUGAUCCUGGCUCAGGACGAACGCUGGCGGCGUGCCUAAUACAUGCAAGUCGAGCGGACAGAAGGGAGCUUGCUCCCUGAAGUUAGCGGCGGACGGGUGAGUAACACGUGGGCAACCUGCCCUGCAGAUGGGGAUAACUCCGGGAAACCGGGGCUAAU